rnacentral:tRNA from 2 species
CGGGACGUAGCCUAGAGGCCAAGGCGUCAGCUUUGGGAGCUGAAGAUCGCGGGUUCGACUCCCGCCGUCCCGA